AUCGUGCGGUGCAUUUUGGGGUCGUACAUGGCAUUCGGUUGUUUGCUUGGCUUUUUAGCCUUGCGGGUGGCUGUUUGGCUAGGCGGCUUCGGGGAUGUCUACCGUAAAGGUGCAUGAGUGGUGUUUGGUUUGAUACGGGUGGUCGGCUCCCUGCUUGAGCAGGCACGGCCACGCGUGCAUUCCUUUUCAGAUUUGCGGCAAGGCUUGUAUCGUCUUGAUCGUGUUAGUGGGUUUCCUGUGUUGCAUACCUGAUCAAUGGCAUCGUUUUGAUCAAAAGUGUUCCUUUUUCGUUUGGCGUUGCAAACGCAUCGUCAGAUGAAUCGUGCAGCAUCCUCUUUGAUCCUUACAGUUGAUGUGCAUUCGUUGAUUGUUUGGCUUGAUGAUGGUGGCUUGGUCUCUUGAAUAUGGAAGCCAAAGUGGGCAUGGGUUCGUAAGAUCCAUUUAUUGCCCAAAUUGAGCGUUCUCGCUUCUCUUGCACGACCGCCUUUCACGUAUGGCACGUCCCAGCGUGUUUGGCUACGUCGAAGAGGAAUGC
rnacentral:misc_RNA from 1 species